GACGAACGCUGGCGGCGUGCUUAACACAUGCAAGUCGAACGGAAAGGCCCUGCUUUUGUGGGGUUCUCGAGUGGCGAACGGGUGAGUAACACGUGAGUAACCUGCCCUUGACUUUGGGAUAACUUCAGGAAACUGGGGCUAAUACCGGAUAGGAGCUCCUGCUGCAUGGUGGGGGUUGGAAAGUUUCGGCGGUUGGGGAUGGACUCGCGGCUUAUCAGCUUGUUGGUGGGGUAGUGGCUUACCAAGGCUUUGACGGGUAGCCGGCCUGAGAGGGUGACCGGCCACAUGGGGACUGAGAUACGGCCCAGACUCCUACGGGAGGCAGCAGUGGGGAAUAUUGCACAAUGGGCGGAAGCCUGAUGCAGCAACGCCGCGUGCGGGAUGACGGCCUUCGGGUUGUAAACCGCUUUCGCCUGUGACGAAGAGUGAGUGACGGUAAUGGGUAAAGAAGCACCGGCUAACUACGUG
rnacentral:rRNA from 1 species